rnacentral:rRNA from 1 species
UUGUCUAAAAUAAAUAAGGAGUCGGACCUGCCCAGUGAAUUUUUUAACGGCCGCGGUACUCUGACCGUGCAAAGGUAGCAUAAUCAUUUGCCUUAUAAUUGAAGGCUAGUAUGAAUGGUUUGACAAGAAUACAGCUGUCUCUUUAUGAUUUAAUAGAAUUUUAUUUUUAGGUGAAGAAGCCUAUAUUAAAUUAAAAGACAAGAAGACCCUAUCGAGCUUUAAAAAAAUCAAUAGAUAUAAUAAGUUAAUACAAUUAAAAAAUUAACUGUUGAAAAUUUUAGUUGGGGCGACCGAGGAACAAAAAAAGCUUCCUUUAUAUAUUAAAGACACACAAGUAUUGAUCCAAAGCAUUUUGAUUAAAGAAAUUAGUUACCGUAGGGAUAACAGCUAUUAUCUUUUUUAAGAGUUCUUAUCGAAAAAAAGGUUUGUGACCUCGAUGUUGGACCAGAAUAUCCAAAAGAUGCAGAAGUCUUUAAGGGUUGGUCUGUUCGACCAUUAAAAUUCUA